UUGUAAUCUGGUAGAGGAGUCGCUGGCCGACAACUGCUCCCAAGUUCUCUGGAAUGGGACGCCAUAGAGGGUGAGAGCCCCGUGGGGUGUGGUUGAGACGGUCUUGAUGCGACUCCUUCGGCGAGUCGAGUAGUUUGGGAAUGCUGCUCUAAAUGGGAGGUAAAUUCCUUCUAAGGCUAAAUAUCGGCCGGAGACCGAUAGCGCACAAGUAGAGUGAUGAAAGAUGAAAAGCACUUUGAAAAGAGGGUGAAACAGUACGUGAAAUUGUUGAAAGGGAAGCGCCCGCGACUAGCUUGCACCUGAUCGAUCGCUUUGUGUUAUCCACAAAGUCUCCCGUUCAUGGUUGC
rnacentral:rRNA from 1 species